UUCUUUAAAAAUUAAAAAUUCUGCCUAAAUACCACAGUAUAGCUCCACCUUCAGCUUAAAACAUAGAAUUUGACUCAUUUUGAAUAAAUUUUAGCCAAUGGCUAAAGAGUAAGAUACUACGUAAACCAGUAGAGUACUACGUAGCAGCUCUGUGUCAACGUUAUAAAAGCAUCGGGAGUCUCGGCCACGCCUUGUGGCGAGUUGGGAGUUGGAUUUGCAAGCGAGUGUAGGAGGCUAGCCGUAGUUCAGCAUUAGCAUAUAGCAUUAGCAUAUCCUAGUCUUUAGCAUAGCUUUUAGUGUUAUACAUACUUAUUUAGUGUUAGCUUGGCUGUUGGAUAUUGUAGUUUAGUUACUGUUUGGCUGUUAGUGUAAUUAGGAAAGUAGUUCGGGUUUAGUGCUCCAUAUCGUGUUAGUAUGGUGAGAUGGUGUAGUGUAGUAUGGUUGCGGAGCUCUGUCAGGUUGCACUCCUUUCCGCUGGACUUAGAAAUUAGGCGCCAGUGGUUGCGUGUCUGGAAAAGAUUCAGCUCCCGCCUGGUGCUGUAGUUUGCAACCAGCAUUUUACCCGCGAUUCUGCACGUCUCCGUUCCAAGAGGGAGGCUGUGCCCACCGUGGCUCUUCCGCGAUUUAGAUACAGCCCACCGACUCUGCUCCCCCACCAUGACGGGCUUCAGUCUGAGGCUAAAUCUACCCAAGACACUGGCUGUCAGACUGAUUUAGUAAUCUGCAAGAAUGCACUUGUCCAGGCUGACGUGGUGUUACCCGUAGCAAAGAGCUCACAGCCUCAGUGUCUUGUGACACAGGGACCAUGACAGAAAUUCAUCUUCCAGAAGGUCCCAGAGCAUCCACACCUCCUGAAAAGACCAAGAUGUGAGCUGUCUGCUGUUGAUUCCAGCUUCCACCUCAGUGACAGUGCAAGCUCAGUUAACUGUUCAAGGUAAAAAAAAUUAAAACAUUUCUGAAUUUUUAAGAUAUUAACAAUUAAAUAAGUAUGUGAUUACAUCAUGAAGGAGGCUACUGAUUCUGGCCCUGUGACACUUGGUGGUGACGUGUGAGCUGAUUCACCUGGUAAAUAACUUUUAAAUUAAAUAUUUUGUUUUUGCUAUCAAAAGUAAAUUAACUAAUAACCUGCAUUACUGCAGGACACUCAGCAAAAUAUGGACUCUACACCAUGAGGCAGGCACACGUUAAUAACUCUAUAAGAGCACAUAAGGUGAGCAACACCACAUAUUAUUUUUAUUACUGUACACUGUCCUGGAUUUGUUUUCUUUCUGCAUGAUUUGUUUUCUUUCUGCAUCUCAUCAUUAGCCUGGCUGAUCACCUGAUAACUCCUGUCAUCUGGUUAUGACAGCAUGAGGAUGUCCUCACACACCUGUCAUCUGGUUAUGACAGCAUGAGGAUGUUCUCACACACCUGUAACCUAUCAGCUCAUCUGGCAGAAUAGAGAGAGAAGAGACAACACCACAUCUCCUGUUCCUGGAAAGCCUUCAGCCAUCCUUCGAUGACUGAGAACCUCCAUCAGCUCUGUCUCCUGUCUGCCUACAAUUAUUAUAAUAAAUAUUGUGUUUGACAAGUU